CCUGACUGCUCUUUCAUUCGUGUUGGAAAGUUGACUGCCAAUUUGUAACUGGAGAACACUCGAGUUCUGCAGACAUGAAAUCUUGCUUAUGGAUUGCCUUGCUUGUAACUCUGGCUAUAGGGACGAAAACACAAGACUUUGAUCUUUCU